UAGGGAAUCUUCGGCAAUGGGGGGAACCCUGACCGAGCAACGCCGCGUGAGUGAAGAAGGUUUUCGGAUCGUAAAGCUCUGUUGUUAAGGAAGAACGAGUGUGAGAAUGGAAAGUUCAUACUGUGACGGUACUUAACCAGAAAGGGACGGCUAACUACGUGCCAGCAGCCGCGGUAAUACGUAGGUCCCGAGCGUUGUCCGGAUUUAUUGGGCGUAAAGCGAGCGCAGGCGGUUAGAUAAGUCUGAAGUUAAAGGCAGUGGCUCAACCAUUGUAGGCUUUGGAAACUGUUUAACUUGAGUGCAGAAGGGGAGAGUGGAAUUCCAUGUGUAGCGGUGAAAUGCGUAGAUAUUAGGAGGAAUACCGGUGGCGAAGGCGACUUUCUGGCCAUAACCUGACGCUGAGGUACGAAAGCGUGGGUAGCAAACAGG
rnacentral:rRNA from 1 species